rnacentral:rRNA from 1 species
CCUACGGGAGGCAGCAGUGGGGAAUAUUGGGCAAUGGGCGCAAGCCUGACCCAGCAACGCCGCGUGAAGGAAGAAGGCCCUCGGGUUGUAAACUUCUUUUAUCCAGGACGCAAAAAAUGACGGUACUUGAUGUAUGAGCCACGGCUAACUACGUGCCAGCAGCCGCGGUAAUACGUAGGUGGCGAGCGUUAUCCGGAUUUACUGGGUGUAAAGGGCGUGUAGGCGGGACUGCAAGUCAGAUGUGAAAACCAUGGGCUCAACCCAUGGCCUGCAGUUGACACUGUUGUUCUUGAGUGGUGGGGAGGCAGGCGGAAUGCCGGGUGUAGCGGUGAAAUGCGUAGAUAUACGGAAGAACACCAGUGGCGAAGGCGGCCUGCUAGACAAUAACUGACGCUGAGGCGCGAAAGCGUGGGGAGCAAACAGGAUUAGAUACCCCUGUAGUC